GUGCCUAGUGCAGUCUUGGACAGGGAAAUCCCCGUGUCACGGAGCAGUGAGGGAAGUAUUCCCAGGUGGCAUGGGUGAUGCUGGCUGUUCCUUUCGAGCUUGGAUCUAACUUCCAGGCUGAAACGCAGUGUGCAGUACAGGACAUCAAGAC